GGGUCAGUAGGUUGGUCGUGCCCCCGGUACGUACUGGUCUCACUGAUUCCUCCUUCCUGAAGAACCGUAAUGCCAUUAAUUUGGUGUUGCGGGGAAACAGGACUGUUACUUUGAAAAAAUUAGAGUGUUUAAAGCAAGCUAACGCUUGAAUACAUUAGCAUGGAAUAAUGAAAUAGGACGAUCGAUCCUAUUUUGUUGGUUUCUAGGAUUGACGUAAUGAUUAAUAGGGAUAGUACGG
rnacentral:rRNA from 1 species